AACGAACGCUGGCGGCAGGCUUAACACAUGCAAGUCGAACGGGCACCUUCGGGUGUCAGUGGCAGACGGGUGAGUAACGCGUGGGAACGUACCCUUCGGUUCGGAAUAACCCAGGGAAACUUGGGCUAACACCGGAUACGUCCGCAAGGAGAAAGAUUUAUCGCCGAAGGAUCGGCCCGCGUCGGAUUAGCUAGUUGGUGGGGUAAUGGCCCACCAAGGCGACGAUCCGUAGCUGGUCUGAGAGGAUGANCAGCCACACUGGGACUGAGACACGGCCCAGACUCCUACGGGAGGCAGCAGUGGGGAAUAUUGGACAAUGGGCGAAAGCCUGAUCCAGCCAUGCCGCGUGAGUGAAGAAGGCCUUAGGGUUGUAAAGCUCUUUCAGCGGGGAAGAUAAUGACGGUACCCGCAGAAGAAGUCCCGGCUAACUUCGUGCCAGC
rnacentral:rRNA from 1 species